GUUGCCCAGUGGGUAAAGAAUCUGCCUGCAAUAAAAGAGACACAGGCAACAAGGGAUUCAUCCCUGGGUCGGAAAGAUCCCCUGGAGGAGGGCAACCUGGAGGGCGUGGCAACCCACGCCAGUAUUCUUGCCUGGAGAAUGCCAUGGACAGAGGAGCCUGGUGGGCUACAGUCCAUGGGUUCACAAAGAGUCGGACAUGACUGAAAUGACAGAGCACGCAUACAUGCAUCCAAAGUAUAAUAACUUCAAUAUAUAAUCAAUAUAAAUGUAAAAGUUAGGUAUAGUUUGCAUCAUUUUUCAUAGUAAGCCAUUGAUUUCUGGUGUAUUCUUUAAGCUUUUGGCACAUCUCAGUUCCCACUAGUCACAGCUCAAGUGCUCAGUGGCCGCAUGCUCCGUGGAUGCUCAGUGUGUAUUUAAAGGUUAUUCAAAAGAGAUUACCAUCCAUACUCCUCUUUCAUCAUGUGGGAGGAUUUUUAAAUUUAAUUUUGUGACAAUCUAACUGAAUUGUUGGUUUUUUGUUGUUGUUGUUGUUGUUUUUGUUUUUAGAUUAGGUACAUCAGCUUUCUGUUUUCAAAGACUUCUGAAUAAACUUAUGAGAAAAAUAUUUUCUCACCUUUCUGGAAACACAAAACCUAUCACUUCUCUCUUUAUUGUAUUUGAAGAGAAGUACAGUUGACGGGGGUUAGUUUGCUCUGGAGAGCUGAUGAUGCUGCCAGACGCUCUGCUACUUGUAAGAUUUAAUUGUGGAGGAGUUGGCAUGAGAAUGGCACAUGCCAUGGGUUGUCCAAGUGGAGGAGGCGUUGUUUUCACUUAAGAGCCAGUGGUCAACAGAGUACUGGGCUGCGACGCAGAGACUGUGGCUCAGUAGGUCCGGGCUGGGGUGGAGAAUCUCCAUCUCUGCUGCAGCUGGUGGAGGCUGUUACUGGCAGACAUCACCUUCCCCUCCCCCCAUCCUCUCCCCCUACCCAUCCCAUCCCACCAUUGUCCUGAGCAACACUUUUCAUUUCUUCCUAGGCUGGUGAUGCCAACCCUGAAAACUUUGGGCAAAAAGAGUCCUAGAGGGGAGGCAGAAGAGAACCAAAGACAGCUUUCAAAAAGGAAAUGCUUUUUCAAAAAAUAUAUAAAUUUGUUUAUUUUAAUUGGAGGUUAAUUACUUUACAAUAUUGUAUUGGUUUUGCCAUACAUCAACAUGAAUCUGCCACGGGUGUGCACGUGUUCCCCAUCCUGAACCCCCCUCCCACCUCCCUCCCCAUACCAUGCCUCUGGGUCAUCCCAGUACACCAGCCCCAAGCAUCCUGUAUCCUGCAUCAAACCUGGACUGGCGAUUCGUUUCUUAUAUGAUAUUAUACAUGUUUCAGGAGAAGACAAUGGCAC
ensembl:lncRNA